AAUGAACGCUGGCGGCAUGCCUAACACAUGCAAGUCGAACGAAGGCUUCGGCCUUAGUGGCGCACGGGUGCGUAACGCGUGGGAAUCUGCCCUUGGGUUCGGAAUAACAGUUAGAAAUGACUGCUAAUACCGGAUGAUGUCGUGAGACCAAAGAUUUAUCGCCCAAGGAUGAGCCCGCGUAGGAUUAGCGAGUUGGUGGGGUAAAAGCUCACCAAGGCGACGAUCCUUAGCUGGUCUGAGAGGAUGGUCAGCCACACUGGGACUGAGACACGGCCCAGACUCCUACGGGAGGCAGCAGUGGGGAAUAUUGGACAAUGGGCGAAAGCCUGAUCCAGCAAUGCCGCGUGAGUGAUGAAGGCCUUAGGGUUGUAAAGCUCUUUUACCCGGGAUGAUAAUGACAGUACCGGGAGAAUAAGCUCCGGCUAACUUCGUGCCAGCCGCCGCAGUAAUAC
rnacentral:rRNA from 1 species